rnacentral:lncRNA from 1 species
CUUUGUCUUUUUAGGGCCACACCCACAGCAUACGGAGGUUCCCAGGCCAGGGAUCUAAUCAGAGCUGUUGCUGCCGUCCUACACCAGAGCCACAGCAACGCCAGAUCUGAGCCACGUCUGUGACCUACACCACAGGUCAUGGCAACGCUGGAUCCUUAACCCACUGAGCGAGGCCAUGAGGGCUGCUCCCACCGAAACCUCAUGGUUCCUAGUCAGAUGUGUUUUCACUACACCAAGACGGGAACUCCAGAUGCAAAUCUUGACUUUACCACUUACUGUGUGAUCUUGGAAAUGUUAGUUUACCUCUCUGGGCCUCAGUUUGCUUUUUUGUAAGUUGGGGAUAAAAUAGUACAAUAGAAGCAAUUUUAUCAAACACAGUGUGGUCUGUUAAUUGGAAAAGUAAAAAUGAGGAGUCAUGAAAUAAAUGAUAUAUGGUUUAUUAGCACUCUACUACAUUUUAAAAACCUACUACUACUUAGUGGCUUAAAACUGACAAAUAUUUAUUUGUCACAUUCUGGAUGGUAGCUGAUGGUUUCUCUGGUCUGAGCCAGUUUGACUGGACUAGGUGCUCUAGGAUGGCCUCAUUCCUGCAUCUAGAGUCUACACUAGUAUGAUUGAGCUCUCCAUUUGACCACUCAGUUUCAAGGAGGGCAGCUUGAGCAUGUUCACCUGGUGGCAGUAGGUUCCCAGCAGCAAGAGAUGUCAAGCCCCAGUGCACAUGCCUUUCAAGCAUCCUGCAGUGUGAUGUUUGCUAAUGUUCCAUGGGCCAAAGAAAAUCACAAGGUCAAGUCCAGAUAGACGGCCAGGGAAGGGGAGACACAGACUUUACCUUUGAUGGAGAUGAACAGCAGGGUCACACGGCACACUGACCUGCGUUGUAGGAGGAAUAAUGUGGUCAUUUUUAUAAACAGUCUACCACAUCACAUCUCAUACAUUUUAAUUUAAAAUAUUUGUGCACCAGAGUUCCCAUCAUGGCUCAGUGGAAAUGAAUCCAACUAGUAUUCAUGAGGAUGCAGGUUCAAUCCCUGGCCUUACUCAGUGGGUUAGGGAUCCUGCAUUGCUGUGAACUGUGGUGUAGGUCACAGACAUGGCUCAGAUCCCACGUUGCUGUGGAUGUGGCUUAGGUGGGCAGCUGUGACUCUGAUUUGACCCCUAGCCAGGGAACUUCCAUAUGCCAGAGGUGCGGCCCUAAAAAGCAAAAAAAUGAAUGAAUGAAUGAAUAAAUAAAAUAUUUGUUCACCUUUGACAUGGACUCAAGUAUAGCUACAUGGACGGUAAGAACAACUGAUUCUUGGUGACUGUACAGCUCACCUAGUGGGCAUCCUGGAGCAGGCCAAGGCAUCAGUCAGUCAGGUCCCCAGAGGGGAUUAAGAGCCUCAGUUUAGUGGCAGUUACUAAAGAGCUUCUACUGUACCAGCCAGGUAGAGCUGUAUCGAGGGUUAGUUGUGAAAAUACCCUUAACAUGCUUAGGACACUUCUUUAGUUCCUGUAAAUGCUCAGUAAUGUUAGUUGUUCUCAUUAUUACACAAUCAUUCAUGUGGUUAUUGUUGUUGCUGUUAUUAAUCAGUCUAAGGUAAAACCUUGGUAUAGGAUAGAAAUGGCAUAAGGAAUAAUAAAAAUGCCAGACCCAGUACCAUCAAGUGGUAAUUGAGAGGAAACAAUGAAGGUAGAAAGGGAGGAUCAAGCCAGGGAUUUAUAAAACUGAUAUAAGAGAACCUAGAAGAUGGAGCAGUAGGAAAUGGGUGAUUCAGACAAGGAGCCUGGAGAAGCAGGCAUGUUAGUCUUAGUUAACAAUUAUAAUUUUGGAGUUCUGGUCAUGGCUCAGCAGAAAUGAAUCUGACUGGUAUCCAUGAGGACACAGGUUCAGUCCCUCGCCCCUCUCAGUGGGUUAAGAAUCGAGCGUUGCUGUGAGCUGUGGUGUAGGGUUGCUACACCAGAUCUGUGUGGCUGUGGCACAGGAGAGCAGCCACAGCUCCAAUUCAACCCCUAGACUGGGAACCUCCAUGUGCUGCAAGUGCAGCCCUAAAAAGACAAAAAAAAAAAAAAAGAAUUAUAAUUUCAACAUACGUAUUUGAAGCAUGAUGAUUUAGGAGAAUGCUUCCUAAGUUCUGGUUCAGAGACUGGUUGCUCGUCCCUGGGGAGCUUGUUAAAAAUGUAGAAAUUGUAAUUCCUGAGCCAAUAGGUUUAAGAACCUAUAUUACUAAAAGCUGUUCAGGUAGAUUUGAAUGCACAUUCAGGCUUGGGAAGCCAUGAAAACAUAGAGCACUGGAAGUCAGGAAACUUGGACUGUAGUUCUGGGUCUGGAAUAGACUUGCUAUGUGACCUCUGUCUUGCAGAUCUAGAGAGAUGAAAUUUGGAGAUGUGUUUAAUCCCUUGUAGACCCCUUGACGCAUGUAAGGGGUGAUUAUUAGUAUUUCAGCAGGUACUCUCUGUGUUUGAAACCAGGCCCAUCAAUCAAGGUUCCUCCACCUCAUAUGCCAAGCAAGGGACUUGGCCCACUUUAUCUAAAAAUCCUUCCCAUUGGUUCAACAACUAUAGAAGACAACAUGGAGGUUCCCCAAAAUACAAAAAAUAGAGUUGCCAUAUGAUCCAGCAGUCCCACUCCUGGUGCAAAAAUUAUAGUUUUUACUCAGGCAAAACUAUAAUUUGAAAAGAUACAUGCACCCCUGUGUUCAUGGCAACACUAUUUUCAAUAGCCAAGACAUAGAAACAAUUUAAAUGCACAUCAGCAGAUAAACGGAUAAGGAUGUGGUGUAUAUAUACAUAUAUAAAAUGGAGUAUUACUCAGCCAUUAAAAAGAAAUAACACCAUUUGCAGAAACUAGGGUGGACCUAGAGAUUAUCUUACUAAGUCAAGUAAGUCAUAAAGAGAAAGACAAAUACCAUAUGAUAUCACUUAUAUGUAGAAUCUAAAAUGCGAUAUAAAUCAACAAAUCAGUGAAACAAAAAGAUUCACAGAUAUAGACAACAGAUUUGUGGUUACCAAAGGGGAGAGGGAUAGAGGAGAGGGAAGGACUGGGAGUUUUGGAUUAGCAGAAACAAACUAUUAUAUAUAGGAUGAAUAAACAACAGGUCCUACUUUAUAGCACAGGGAAUUAUAUCCAAUAUUCUGUGAUGAGCCAUGAUGGAAAAGAAUAUGCAAAAGGAUAUAUUUGUAUAGCUGAGUCACUUUGCCAUACAGGGAAAACUAACACAGUAUUGUAAACCAACUAUACUUCAAUAAAAUUUGUAAAAAUAAUUUAAAAUCCCUUCUAGCUGUAAAAUUUUAUAACUAUGAUUUGUUUUCUGUUUUGCAGACACCAAAUUUCUAUAUGUUGAUGUGGAUUCUCAUGGAUUGUGCUUCUGCAAUUUUCAUUGUUGCCAUAUUUUAUUUUCAUUGGUAAGCAUAACUGAUUUUCCCUGAAAUAGAAAUAUAAGUGAUUUUUGUGGAAAUUUGAGAAAAAAGCAGCUACAUUCUUCCCAUAGUCCCACAUGGCAAAUCCUCAGGGAGACAGGGUUUUAUCGUCUGAUGCUACCUGAAGCAGCCUGCAGCUCCUCAUACACCAUCUACCUACUCAACAUGAGACUAUAUUUGAAGGACAAGGAUUCUCACUAAAGCUUAAUCUAAGCCUGUUACUACAGAUUUCAAUGCAGAUCAACCGGAAGAGGACAGGGGCUGAAGGUUCUUCACAAAAGUGCCUCCAAAUCUCCCCACCUUCCACACAAUUGCACAUAGUGGAGUGCUGUGUAAAGAGCAAGUUGACAAACCAUGGUUUUAGUCCUGGCUUUGCCCUUAGUUUCUGAGUGAUCCUGGGAUAAUCAGUGCCCCUUUCCAGGCCAUAGUCUUUUCAUCUGUCCGAGAAAAUGACAUUUGAGAAUUCUUGAGAGAAUAUGCUAUAAGAUUGCAAGGUUCAAGGUGGGAGAGGAGACAUCUGGUAGAAGAAUUCGACCUAUAAGAGACCUUGGUUGUUUAAAUCUCAUCAUGUCCAUCAUUUCUUCAUUUGAAGUGUCCUUUAAAGGAGGAAACCACACACCCUCUCCUUAAAGGAGAAUUUGACUGGACAAUGUUCUUUUACAGUCUUUGCCUUGAAUUAUUGCCAUUUUUGGAAGAGGUCUAUAUGGUUGAUGUAUAGUCUGCUUCCUUCUAGGUGGAGAGAGAGCCAAAGUGAAAAAAUCCUCAGAGGUAUCAGCAGUUAUGCAGGUAAAGUCAGAGGCCUCAUGGACUCCCAUCUCUUCCUCCCUACCCAUUGCCUCAGGAUACAGGCAUUGUUUUUGACAAGAGUUGAAGGAGUCUGAAUUUGAGAGUGGGGACCAGUGAGAAAUUGGGACCAAUAAACUAAGCACAGAUUCUGGAGGGCCCUUGAUAUCACUCUUCAUUUUGGACUUUAUUGUCUAAGCAAUGAGACUCCUUGUAAGCUUUUGAACAUGGAUGAUUUUUUGUUGUUGUUCGCUUGUUCAUAUAUUCACUUAUCACAGUUAUUGAGUACCAGCUUUGUGAUAGCCACUUUCUUUGUCCUCACACAGCCUUUCUUCUGUGUACCCACACACACCCUCAGUAUCUCCUGUGUGUCCAAAUUUUCUCUUCUAUGCUCAGACUGGAUCAGGGCUCAUGACAGUGGCCUCAUUUUAAUCAUGUCUUUAAAGGCUUUAUUUCCUACAUUAGUAACAUAUUGAAGUGCUGGUGGUUAAGGCUUGACCAUAUGAAAUUGUGGGGUAUACAAGUCAGGU